ACGGCCCUGGGUGUGGGACUGAGUUUUGAAGGUGAUCUGAAUUGUAUAAAGUAUAUAAAUAUUAUAUGCUCAUAAAUUAUUGCUUUGUAAAGUUGCAACUAGAGGCCGGCCGAUAAUUUGUCCCGGAAUCGUUCAAAGUCUUAAGUUUCGAUUCCUACUUUCGAUGCCCAGUCUGCCGACCAUUAGAAGAAUCCGCAGCCAGUGUCUGUUAAAAAAACAUGAUCUGUAAAUGCUGAUUAUCGUCUCUCAGAGCCGGUCAAACCAGCUGUCCACCGCUGCUACUGCGGAGCCUAGAGAUACCCUGAACGCAGCAUCGUGUUGCCCCCUCCCUUCCUUUCCCUCAAACUGUAGGAGCGUGGCGGCAAAAAUGCAAACAAACAUAUCUGCCGACAUAAAACAAUGUAAGUAAAUGGAAGGUUCUAGCGUAGAACCUUCCUUUUAUGCUAAGCUAAAGCAAAACGUACUGCUUCCAGAUCAGGAGAAUGACUGAGCUGGAUAAAUCCUUUUUCUCACUUGUCUAACUCUGGGAAAUCUAACAACCAUCGACAUUGAAAUGUACCACCACUAUUUUACAAAUAUGCAAAAAAUAUAAAUAAAGAGCGAGUUUAUCUGAUGGCGUGCAGACUUCUGGAGAAUGGCAUCAAGCACUAUCAACCAACUCUCCGAGUUGCAGUAUUUCUGUGGUCAGGUCUCUCUCCGAGUCCGCUCCACAAGCGGUCAGCCCGCACGGCAGACAGGCACCGAAGCGGUCAGAGAUGCGCCGGGCUGACCGCUAGGGAGAACCGGGUGGAAGAAUGGAACACACAAGUCUCCCUCCAAGAGCUCCACCAACAUGUCAUAUUUCAACCCAUUUGUAUGUUAAAUGCACUGGUUGUACACCCAUCGACAUAUACCCUAUUAAUUAUUUUACCGUAUUACAUCUAAAUUUCAUGGUUAAUCAGUACAUGUUAAAAUGGUAGUUAGCUAGCUACUUUGAUAAGCUCAGCUAGUGUAAACCGGCAGUGACCUAAAAUACAUAAAUAUAAUUUUACUUACCGAAAAAAAUGAAGUGGAGACUCCUUGGAUGCUCUAUUAGUGCAAUUAAUACCACAGCAAGUCAUUUUGUCCAACAACUGCACAAAAAAUAUCCAAAAAAUAAUACACAAACGCUACAACUACUGGUCUAAUUUCAGAGACUACAAAUCGCUGAACAGUUUUCAGGCGAGACCGAGGCUCAGACUGAGGCCUUGGUCACGUGGGUCUGAUGCUCAUUAAUUAUACAGAAUUUUAGGCUUUUAAGACACUUAAACAGAAGUUAGAUUUGUCAUGACUAUAAACUAGAUCUAUUAAACCAAAAACAUGUUUUGGAACCAGGCUGUAAAAACAUUUAUUUCUGCUGUGAAAUUGGUAUUUUUAACAUGGGAGUCAAGGAUUUGCUCGUUUCGGACACCAGCCCCCAGCGGAUGAGGGUGGAAGUGCAAUUUAUUUCACUUCCGCGUUGGCCUCAAUUUCUGUCCCGCAUUGUGGGGGCUUGCUAACAAUAGACAAAAUUUUACUUCUGAGUGGAAUAUUCCUUUAAGUUUUGUGUAUAAUGUUUGCACAGUUUUUAUGUAUAGUUUAGAAUUUAUUUUUUACUACAAUGUGGUUGUGUGCUUUACUUUGUGACUUAUUUUAUUGAAGAUUCUAACCCUAACCCUCUAUUAUCUCAUUCAAUUCAAUUCAAAAAUACUUUAUUAAUCCCAGAGGGAAAUUGAUUGCUGUAGUAGCUCAGAAUAAUAAUAAUAAUCAAGUCAUCAAAGAGUUAUUGUAUAUUACAAUGGCUGUUGGCAGGAAGGAUCUCCAGUAGCGGUCAGUGUUGCAGCGAAACUGAAGAAGCCUCUGAGUGAAGACACUCUUCCAUUGUCGGACAGUCUUGUGAAGAGAAUGCUCAGGGUUGUCCAUCAUGUUCUUGAUUCUCUGGAGAAUCCUUCUUUGCAUUAUCUCCUCCAGUGGUUCCACAGUCAUCCCCGGAACAGAACCAGCCUUUUUUAUUAGGCUGUUGAGCCUUUUCAGGUCCCUGCUUCUGAUGCUACUACCCCAACAGACGAUGGCUGAAGAGAUUACUAUGGGAUUAGAUUUGUGCCAAUAGGAUCAAGAAAAACACUUUGAAAAUCAAACAAAUAUUAAGACAUUGAGAGAAAAAUAAAUUGUUUCAAAAGAAAAACUUACGAUCUGAAUCAGAUUCUUAAAAUGAUCAAGAAAAACACUUUGACGGUCAAACAAAAAUUAAGAAAUUGACAGAAAAAUAUUGACAAAAGGAAAAAAAGUUUCAUAAGUAAAACUUACUAUCUGAAUCAACUUCUUAAAAUGAGUAACAAAGUAUGUUUCCUUUUUCUGUUUGCCUCUAUGUGUUUUUGUUAUCAAUUUCCUUAGUUUCAUUCUCGUUGCUCACAGCUUUGCUCUCACUACCAGAUUUGCACUUACACUGUCUGGCUUUCUCCUUUGCAAUCCCUGAGUUUUUGGUUGCAAUUCUGACACAACCCUUUCGGGUGGGUGGGACUUCUGAGAAGUGCUCUCCCAUAGGACAGUGGUUUCUCUUGUGACAGUUCAGUGACCCGGAAGUGAUGUAGCCUCCAAAACUUUUUUUUUCCACCUCGGUCAACAACAUGAAUUUUGAGCCCCAAACACGUUAUUUCUGCUGUCUGUGGUGUCUACUAAGGAUCUAAACUAAUCCUCGGGUGUCAGCAGGAGGAGGUGACCACCUGCAUAACGGAGCACCCUGGUUCUGAGCCAGUUGCACCUUUGUGCAGCUCUUUGGGGAGGCGAUGCUCAGCAGACACAUGCCUCCGUGUGGUCAGGUGGUGUUGGUGUGAUCUGGGAGGGCACACUCAUGUCGUCAUCUCCUUGUGCCGUCUCCAGGAUCAUGAUGGGAGUUCUCUGUGCCUAUAAAGCAGGGUAUUUACUUCUGGGCCUGGAGGGCCGGUAUCCAGCACGUUUUAGUUUUAACUGUUUCAACACACCUGAUUUCAGUCCGGAGAUAAUUAACAGGAUUCUGCAGAGCUGCUGCACAGGUAAUUCAACCACUGAUUCAAGUGUGUUGGAGCAGGGAAACAACUAAAACGUGCUGGAUACCAGCCAUCCAGGACUAGAAUUGAACACCCCUGCUAUUAAGCCUUCCUCCCUCCUCCGGACUUUAAACAUUAGUAUUUUAUUAUGGUUUACCUGAUUUAGUAAAUAAAUCUCAAUUUAUAAAUUUCCUGUUUUGGUGCCUGUCCAUAAAAUCCUGCAUUAGACACUGAAAGCUGAAUGGAUGCCUUUCAUUCACUUUGACAUUCAAUGUAUUUUUAAAGAUAAACAGCCAAUAUUAAUUUCAAGUGUAACAGAGUGGUGCAAAGUAAUUGCUGAUGUCAUGAUUUUUGCAAUAACCUGACCUUCAUGCAGAGAAACUCAGGAGACAAAUGAGCUAAAAACAGUUUAUUAAAAUGUUUGACAGAUGACUGAAGAGGUAACAGCUGGAGAUCAGGAACCAGAAGCUUCUGCGAGGAAGAGCAGAGGUUAGUAAGAGGCAACAGUCAGGUUUUUCUUAGACUGUGCAGGUAGCUUACAGAGACUCAGAAACGCCACAGAGAUGGAGCCACAGGUUUUAGCGUUUAAAGAAUGACUAAAGAAUGACUUACAAAAGGAAAAGUUUAGGUACUUACGGUCUGAAGUUGUAGCGCAGACGGGAGACAGCAGAAUGGUGGAGAAACAACAAGAAGUCUGGAAGAAUGACAGCAUGAAUUGCAAGCGGGUGAGCAGAAGGUAGUGGGUAAGCCGACUGCCAGUAUGGUUGUGUGAUCAGGAGCUUCAUGGAAAGAAUUCCCAUAGAUCUGCAUAGAAAAUGAGAAUGUAAGUUUGAAAAACGGCAGAAUCUUGGGCUAGAUAUGGGUUAAACACUGAUGAGUGACCAGCUACCAGCUUUUAUUCAAGGAUGGGGUUACAGGUGUGUGAGGAUGUGUCUGCCCCAUGAGAAGAGUUUUCAGGUAAGCCUCUCCAUGGUGCUCUGCAAUGGUGACUAGCAAGGCUAAUGAAGAGAUUAAAGGGAACACAAACCCAGGACUCCGACCCAAACUCCUAACAGCAACACAACGACUCCUCCACGGGAGUACAGUCACACGCAGCUGCCCGAAGUUCAGCAUCAGGCAACCUGUAGGCGAUGUAAUCAUACGUGGCUUCUGAGCAUGCAAGUUUACUCUAGCUGUACAGCGUACAAUAAUAAUAAAGAUUUAUAUUCUGUUGUGUUGUUCACCUUGCAGGUUCUUUUAAAAUCUUAGCCUGUAACUGCUUACAGCAGGUCUUUCAGGUCUUUUGAACUAGACACAGAGGUUCAGGCACAGGUAGUCAGACUCCUGAUAUGAUAGAGCAUCCACCACCACCGACUCCUGAUAUGGUAGAGCUUCCACCACCACGGACUCGAACAAUAGGUCCAUAUGCUUGUCAACUGGAAACAAUGGAAAAAGAUUACCAUUAGUACAGAUAUUUAUCCAUAACCAUCACUGUGGGUUUAUUAUACAGCAUAUGAACUACAUGAGGUGGGAUUGGUCUGCAGUAGGGAUGUGUAUUUUUGACAGAAUUUAUUGUAGGAAUAUUCAAUAAACAGUCCAAACUGAUACUUAACAUGUUUAACAUGGGUUAUCUGAACCAUAAUAGCGAGAUUUAAAUUUCAAUGGUGGAAACAAAACCCAAUGCACACUGCUGCCAACUAGCGGUCGACAUUUAAAGUGCACCAACAACAAAGAAAAUACACAAAUGUUUGCAUGUAAAUUCUUCCAAAAAUUAGAUACACUGCUUUUGAAAAUGGAUGUAAUAUCACAGGAAAAAAUAUCACGAUAUAUUGCCAUAUCGAUAUUUUAGAGACACAGUUUGAGAACAUCGAUACAAUAUCACUGGAAAAAUAUAUCGCGAUAUAUUGCCAUAUUGAUAUUUUCUUACAUCCCUUGUCUGCAGUGUACUUUGUGUACACUAUGGUGUGUCUUAUCUCACCAGCUGCAGUUGAUGCAUGUGGCCGUGUAGCACUUCCUUUGUAAUGCAAUGCAGUAGUUUUCAAUCUAAAAAGAAAGAAAGAAAGAAAAAAAAAGAAAUAGCUUUUAGACAAAAACUAUAGAUUUUAUCUAAAAAUUAAACAAUUAAAAGCAUGUAUUUAACUCAUUAUUGAUUAUUUGUCCUGGAUAACAUUCUUUUGAUGGAAAAUACAGAACACAUGACAGAAAGCACAUUGAAUCUGAUUUGUCCUGUGCUGACAAACAAAUGUCAGAUCUGUAUACUGGGAAGAAAUUUGUUAUCAAACACACUCAAUUAGAUAAUUAUUCAGUCAGAGUUACAUCAUAUAAUCCAUUCGUUUCACUGAAAAAGGAGCAGGCAGAACAAUGAACUUGUUUAGCCCGUCCAGUAACAUGGAAUAAAAAAUGAAUAUGUUAAAAUGAGUUUUUAAUACGUCUCUCUGGAACAAUAGACCAUUGUCCUGAGGCUAGCACAAUGGCGUGCUUAGCAGCUAGCUAGUGAGCUAGCAUCUGGUUAAAACCAACGUAAAAAGUGGCUUAACUUACAGAUGAACUAAGAAAAGAUAAAGUAUAUUAUCAAUACUCACUUCAGAUCCUUAGUAGACACCACAGACAGCAGAAAUAAUGUGUUUGGGGCUCAAAAUUGAUAACAAAACUGAUAACAAAAACACAUAGAGGCCCUCCCCCUGCCACACCUGGUGUGGGGUGUGGUGCCUUGGUCUGCCUGAGUGUUCGUGGCUCCCGG